rnacentral:rRNA from 1 species
UACGGGGGGGGCAAGCGUUGUUCGGAAUUACUGGGCGUAAAGGGCUCGUAGGUGGCCAACUAAGUCGGACGUGAAAUCCCUCAGCUUAACUGGGGAACUGCGUCCGAUACUGGAUGGCUCGAGUUUGGGAGAGGGAUGCGGAAUUCCAGGUGUAGCGGUGAAAUGCGUAGAUAUCUGGAGGAACAUCAGUGGCGAAGGCGACACCCUGGACUCAUACUGACACUGAGGUGCGAAAGCGUGGGGAGCAAACAGG